UGGGGAAUAUUGCACAAUGGGCGCAAGCCUGAUGCAGCCAUGCCGCGUGUGUGAAGAAGGCCUUUGGGUUGUAAAGCACUUUCAGCGGGGAGGAAGGCGUUAAGGUUAAUAACCUUGGCGAUUGACGUUACCCGCAGAAGAAGCACCGGCUAACUCCGUGCCAGCAGCCGCGGUAAUACGGAGGGUGCAAGCGUUAAUCGGAAUUACUGGGCGUAAAGCGCACGCAGGCGGUCUGUCAAGUCGGAUGUGAAAUCCCCGGGCUCAACCUGGGAACUGCAUUCGAAACGGGCAGGCUAGAGUCAUGUAGAGGGGGGUAGAAUUCCAGGUGUAGCGGUGAAAUGCGUAGAGAUCUGGAGGAAUACCGGUGGCGAAGGCGGCCCCCUGGACAAAGACGGACGCUCAGGUGCGAAAGCGUGGGAAGCAAACAGG
rnacentral:rRNA from 1 species